AAUCAGUCUCAGACCACAAGUGCAGACACACCAUCUUUCUGACAAGGUCAGCGGCAUGUCUGCUGAGACCCUCACCACUCUUGCCAGGAUUUACCUCCUAGGAUUACUCUUCUCCAUUCUCUCAGGGUCCUGGGCCCAGGUGAAGCUUUUGGAGUCAGGAGGCAAGGUGACACAUGAGGGCCAGUCCGUGACCCUGACCUGCAAGGCCUCUGGCUUUAACUUCAAGGAUUAUGAUAUGUCUUGGCACUGGAACCCAAGUGGGAACAACAGGCAGCUUGUGGCCAGUAUCAGCUCCAAAACUGGUAGUAAAACAGAGUAUAAGCCCAGAAUCCAGGGCAGGGCUUAUAUCACCAGGAAUAACGAAGCCAACACUGUCUCCCUGACCCUGAUCCAGCUACGAAAGGAAGACUCGGGCAUAUACUACUGUGCCAAACUCACUGUGCUAGGGCUUAGGCAGACACCUUGACACAAACUUGGCGCCCACAGGGGGAUUAGAGCCCCCAGAAUGGUACUGCACUAUGUAGUGUUUUCUUUCUCUCUCUCUCUGUAGAGAAGGAAAGAGAGGAAUAGGUUCUCCCUAUGUAUUUUUGUGGGUGUACGGAGA